UACGUAGGGUGCAAGCGUUGUCCGGAAUUAUUGGGCGUAAAGGGCGCGUAGGCGGCUUGACAAGUCAAAGGUGAAAUCCCUCGGCUCAACUGAGGAACUGCCUUUGAAACUGUCUGGCUUGAGGCCGGGAGGGGGUAGCGGAAUUCCCGGUGUAGCGGUGAAAUGCGUAGAUAUUGGGAGGAACACCAGUGGCGAAGGCGGCUACCUGGACCGGUUCUGACGCUGAUGCGCGAAAGCGUGGGGAGCAAACAGG
rnacentral:rRNA from 1 species